AGAGUUUGACUCCGUGGCUCGAGGACGAACGCUGGCGGCGCGCCUAACACAUGCAAGUCGAACGGUGAAGAGGAGCUUGCUCCUCGGAUCAGUGGCGGACGGGUGAGUAACACGUGAGCAACCUGCCUUUCAGUGGGGACAACAGUUGGAAACGACUGCUAAUACCGCAUAACGUGCCAGACGGGGCAUCCGUUUUGGUACCAAAGAUUUAUCGCUGAAAGAUGGGCUCGCGUCUGAUUAGAUAGUUGGUGAGGUAACGGCCCACCAAGUCGACGAUCAGUAGCCGGACUGAGAGGUUGAUCGGCCACAUUGGGACUGAGACACGGCCCAGACUCCUACGGGAGGCAGCAGGUGGGGAAUAUUGGACAAGUCGGGGAAACCCUUAUCCAGCGACGCCGCGUGAGGGAAGAAGGUUUUCGGAUUGUAAACCUCUGUCAGUGGGACGAUAAUGACGGUACCCACGGAGGAAGCCACGGCUAACUACGUG
rnacentral:rRNA from 1 species